GCGCCCGUAGCUCAGCUGGAUAGAGUAUUGCCCUCCGAAGGCAAGGGUCACAGGUUCGAAUCCUGUCGGGCGCG
rnacentral:tRNA from 1 species